rnacentral:lncRNA from 1 species
AAAUAGAAGAAUUUCUUAAAUAGAAGGACAAUAGGCUCUAUCUGCAAGUAAGCUUAACAGAAUACAUGGAAUUGACAGAGGUUGGUUAUCGAGUUUAGGCCUAAGUCCUGGGGUUGGAGGUUAAAGAAGUGUAGUGCGUCUCUGAAGAAUUUUGAGCCGAGCGGUCUGAAGCCCCGCUCAAUAUAAUCAGUAAAAACCACCACCUCCCUAUCGACGGGUUGUGGACAUUGUUCUCCUAAGGCGGCUCACCAACCGAUUUUAUCCUGUGGAGCUAGAGUUCCCACUUUUACAAAAUCUUCAAGGACUACGUCGCUGACCUCUGAUGGCAACCAAUUACACUUGGAGAUGUGACCCAUGGCCGCAAAGCACAGAGACAGAGAU